rnacentral:piRNA from 1 species
UAGACAAAGAACUGUACAUUCUGGAAGA